rnacentral:rRNA from 1 species
UACGAAGGGGGCUAGCGUUGCUCGGAAUCACUGGGCGUAAAGCGCACGUAGGCGGAUUGCUAAGUCAGGGGUGAAAUCCUGGAGUUCAACUCCAGAACUGCCUUUGAUACUGGCGAUCUCGAGUCCGGGAGAGGUGAGUGGAACUGCGAGUGUAGAGGUGAAAUUCGUAGAUAUUCGCAAGAACACCAGUGGCGAAGGCGGCUCACUGGCCCGGUACUGACGCUGAGGUGCGAAAGCGUGGGGAGCAAACAGG